CAGCGGCGUGUCCAGAACGAGGGGAUGUUGUGGCGUCGCGAGGAAGUUUUGACAUGUUGUUGUUGUUGGGACGGCACCAUGGUGAGAGCAAUCAGCUCACGGAAACUUUUGAGCGUGAGUAAGAAGUUUGGCUGGAAUUCCACUGCAGCAUCUCGGCAGUGUGAUGUGUGCGGGUGCCUCACUUCUUGUGCUUAUCGUGUGUGACAGCACGUUGACAGCAGGGGGAAGGAAAAGAAAACAGAACCGUGUGGGUUUGUGCUUGCCACUGGAUGUCAAAGAAAUGACAUACAGAAGCUCAGAGGGAAUUAUAAAAGCCAUGAUAAAAAUCAAAUAUAAGUGGAGAGAUAAAAUGCUUUAGAUGGCUUGUGAGGACAGGAAUGUUGAUAUUAAGAAACAACAGAGUAGAAUUGCCUUGUAUCUAAAUGGAUCGACUUGUCUGUAAAUAUAAUGACCAGAGAUAUUUUGUUGAAGUGAAAGUUCAUCUAAAAACUUCCAUGGCGCUCCAAACCCAUAUAACUUACUUCCUUGUUUAGAACACAAAAACACUUAGCAGAAUGUCCAAGAUGUUGUUUAUCCUUUGAAAAUGGAUGGACUUUGGAGUGUAACUGAUGACAGAAUUAACAUAAAAUCUCUGUGAUGUGACAUUUGUCUUUAAUGAAAUUGUGACAUGAAAAAUCUAAUUUAAACUUUUGACUUAUAAGAUGUUUUUGUACCAUUAAAACAUCCUGUAAGUUUCAUAGAUUAAAACAUCCUCUUAAAGGGUUAGUUCACCCAAUAAUCAAAAUUGUGUAAUUAAUAACUCACC